rnacentral:lncRNA from 1 species
GACAUGUGGAGCCAGAAGUACCUGGGGUUACGUUUCCCAGGGUGAGGGUUGGGGGCUUAGUCAAUAACUGCCUGGUGCUGGCGUGUGAAAACCAAGCUUCCUUGCCUCCAGUUGAAACAAACUGAGUUAUAAUUUAUACUUUGGAGCUCCCCUGAAGGAUCAUGCUGAAGCUGGGAGUUGGCUUGGAAUAGCAUCCUUGUUUGGCUUCUUCCCCUUCCCUGGCCUGCUUCUCACACUCCCUUCCUGGUUUCUCCAAGGAGCAUGAAAGACAGAAACUAAGACAGCAUUCAGGCUUUUGAAAUGAAGAUGUUGGGAUUCAAAAUUGGACAAUGUUGUCAGCAGGGAGACGCCUGGAAGCAGAAGAAUAUUUAUGGUGUGAAGUCUGAGAGGGCUAACAUGGGACUCAAUAACAAAUACCUGGAUGAGUGGCUUUGGAAGUAGAUACAGACUUGGUCCAAUGGGAACUUGAACGAGAGUAGACAGCUAUACAUGUGAUUAAAAUCAAGCUCAAGUCAGAGAAGAAGGGACGAUGCGUGAGCAGUAUCACCAUGAUGACGUGGGCGUUGACAAUACUUAUCAACAAUCCAGGUCUAUGCCCACUUGACCAAGUCUCAUAGAACUGGAUUUGGAACCAUAUUACCUUGAUCCCCUUCAGAGUUGUUCUUGGGUUACUGUGCAUAUAAUGAAGAGAAAAUGUUGGCUGAUAAGUUCGUCCUUGUUCAUGGUGAUUCUUAAUUCACAAUUUUCAACAAGGAGCUGGAAAACGAGCAAGGGAGUAAAAGCAGUGGAUGCUCGGAGACCACAGGGGACACCUAACUCCUUAGAGCUUCCAACUUCCCUCAGCCACUGGUGGAAUCCCCAUGCAGAAUUAGGAAGAUCAGAGAGGAGGAAGUAAGUGAAACUGUGUCAGUCCUUGGGCACAUCUGGCUCCAGCUGGCGGACUGAAUUUUUGUGUCUCUCCUUUAUUCCUUCCACUUAUGCCUCCUCCUAUGAGAUUUAGCUCCAGCUCACUCAUAUCCCAUUGCCUUGCUUUAUUUUCAUUGAAGCACUUUCUGAAAAUAUUGAAGUAUUUUUUACAGGUUUACAUGUUGUAAUGGGUUGAAUUGUGUCCCCCCCCGCAAAAGAUAUGUUCAAGUCUUAACCCCAGAUA